rnacentral:lncRNA from 1 species
GGAAACACUGCAGUGGAGAGGUACAUCUGCUGUGCCCAAUUUACUUUAAUAGGACUCUGAAGUUUCACACAUCUAGUCUUAUGCUGUCAGUGGCAGGGAAAAGCUCAUAGCCACUUUCUGGAAGCUAUUAAGUUGCCAAAGAGGUGAACAUCCUGGCACUGUUUGUACAACUCUUGCAAGACUCGAUUCCCUUAGAUGUAUGGUAUUGGUAGAAGGUGGUGUACAAUGACCUUGAGGGAGUCACAAUAUGGACAGCUUUUUUAGCAGAAGACCUUGAGCUGACUCUGAACAUCUCUUAAAAACACCAGAGGUUGUGCAGGAGUUGAUUAAAGAUGUGAGUAGUCUUUCCUUAUUAGGCAUGUAAUGAGUCGAAACUGCUAUAUGAGAAAUUGGUAAAGAGCCUUUAAAAAUGGUCUUUGAGAAAAAAAAGUUAUGACUACUUUGUCUUAUUUUUAGUGCACAGUUGCUGUUAUCAAGCAUGUUUCCAUACAGAUGAG